rnacentral:lncRNA from 1 species
AAACAAACCAGAUGGAGCUUUCAAUCAACAAGCUGCAUUUAUUAUUGAUAUCUGUGGCUUAUUUGUUAUCCAUGCACCUUUUAACAGCAUAAGAUUUCAGAUUCUGCAUGAGAAGUUAAUAUCUGAGUAUGGGAGAGUCACCUCUGUGGAUUGAUCUGGUGGCCCAGUCCAGCACCACUCACCUCUCCACACCCAGCACUGUAAUCAGCGAGUCUCUACACAGAGCACAAGAGUUAAGCAAUCAGGAUGACUUAACUAUCAACUUGACCUUUGAGAUCCCUUCAGAACAGGAUUUCUAGGAUGUUAUCACAUUAUUCAAGUAUGGAUACAUUCUGCAGACACCAGUUGUUCACUGAAUAUACCAAUCACAGAAGAAAGUGGUAUAGAAACUCAUAUUGAUGUUUUGCCUUUCCAAGUGAAGUGGAUGACAGCAAAGCAUAAUUCAAGGUCUGGUUGCCAACAUACUCAAUUAAGCAGAAUUUGGAGGAGGAGGAGAAGGAGGAGGGGAUGGCUGGAAACUCCCAGUCAUACUACAAAUGUCAGCUAUCUGCUGUCAGAGACCUGGUGACGUUGAACCAAACUGUGAAAUAUGUGUAAUUCUUCAAAUAUUGCUGAUGAUGUAGCACCAGAUUUUUUUUUCCAUGUGCAUGUGACUGCUUUUGACCAUGACAGGUUUUCAUAAAUCUGGUGUCAUUAUAGAACACAUGACUUGUGUCACCACUGCUACAACAAGAGAAAUCCAUCACAGAUCAAAGUGCCAGGAAAAGUCCUGUUCACAAUAUAAGCCCCACUUAAGCUUUCCAAAUACAGCUUGAGUGGAAUUUAAGUGGGCCAUAGGCCAUGUUUUUGCUCCUAUAGACAGACAUGAAUUUUAGAAUGUGAAAAUACAUUAAAAUACGAUGUAUUUUCUCACGUAACUUGAAGCUAUCUGAUGCCACAAGGCCAUUCAGACCUAAAUAUCUUUACCAGUAUUUUACCUUGAAUGCGAUGUUAAUUUUUGUAGAAUAUGAACCUAAACAAUAAAACUUUCCAGCAUUAUUUUAAUAUUAGACUU